CGCUGAUUAAGAACUAGUGAUUUUUCUCUAUAUGGAUGUUGUACCUCACUGCACUUGUACCCAAAAUCAAUCCGGUUCGGAUCCAUGCCACAUAUGCGGCGGUUCAACCUACUCGCCGAUCAUGGAAAUAGUAGAAUAUAAAGCGACUCGGGUUCCUGAUUGCGUUCCUAGGUUGGUGACUGGUGCCAUCUCUGGAGCUCUCACGGGGCUUUUUGCUCUGGUUGGAGGUUUCACGGGAGCUAUUACUGGUGCUUUAGCUG
rnacentral:misc_RNA from 1 species